rnacentral:rRNA from 1 species
AGGCAGCAGUGGGGAAUAUUGGACAAUGGGCGCAAGCCUGAUCCAGCAAUGCCGCGUGUGUGAAGAAGGNCUUCGGAUUGNGAAGCANUUUCGACGGGGACNAUGAUGACGGUNCCCGUANAAGAAGCCCCGGCUAACUUCGUGCCANCAGCCGNGGUNAUACNAAGGGGGCUAGCGUUGCUCGGAAUGACUGGAAUACGAGGGCGCGU